GUCAACAAUGAACUGGGCUCCGAGCAGCCCACAUAAGACUGAUGGCCACAGGGACAGAGAGAGCGAAGGAGGAUGAGAGCACAGGGAAGUGCAGAGCCCUCUGGAAAGCCUUGCUGAGGAGGUAUCCUGCAAACUAAGAUGGAGCCUGCCAAAGGCACAGCAAUAGGGGGCAAAAAUGAGCUCGGUGUGUUUGGAAACAGAGGGAGACAAGAGACAAGAGCAGGAAGACUUUUAGAUGAUGGGAUGUUCAUUCUUCCUGGGCAGCAACAAGUCGCUGGGCAUCCUAGAUGUGAUUUGCACUAGCAGAACACCCUAAGGCUGCAUUUAGUCUGUCUUUAAAGCAAUAACGAGGCCGAGAGAGGUCCAUGUGGGGUUGAUGGAGUCUGGGCAGUGCAGUAGACCCAGAGGAGGACAUCGGUGCAUCAUGAGGCAUGCUGUGCAUGAUGGCCAGCUCUUGAGGGUGAGGAUCCUUAAAGGAUUUGGAGAGUAAUGGCAACUUCUGGGUGUUUUGCAGUAAGACGGCUCAUUUUGUUCAAGAAGGGAGCAGGGGGCUAGAGGUGUGGGUUGGUAGUAGGGCACUUGCCUAGCAUGCACAGGGCUGAGUUCCAGGUCAUGAACCACAAAAAUGAGGGGAGAGCAGAAUAGAAGAAAAGCAGGCACAGAACAGUGAGUUGAGAACCCAGAAGCUUGUGGGUCCAUAAACCAGUGUCUGUAUGACCCAAGGGGCUAGAAUAGUUUAUACAUUUUCAAAAUGUUUUUGUGAAAAAGAGAAGCAGGAACAUAUGGAACAGGGACCAUAUGGACCCCAAAGCCUGAAAUAUUUACUGUCUAGCCCUUUGUGGAGCGCGGGGGAGGGGGACUGCUCGUGCCCAAUAUAGACCAUCUGUAGUCUCUAAAGAGAAAGCUCUCCUAUACGGAUUUGGAAGCCUUGUUAAGGGGAAAGGCACUGUGCCAAAGUGUAUCCUAGAUUGUGAGAUUCGACAGAACGCUGCCUGAUAUGCUAAAGGGAAAAGAGGGAACGAGCGUGUAAGCCUUGGUUUGGGACACUGCUGGAGAACUUAGCAGUGCAAGUUACCCUGCCAGAGACUUCACCGUAUGUGGGGUUUGUACAUUGUACCAGGUCAUUGUGUUGCCUAGUCAAAAAAAAAAAAAAAAAAGAGUAACUACAAUAAAAAUAGCAAUUUGCCUAGCACAUACAAAGCCCUGACUUCAACCCCCAAUACUACAAAAAGGGGGGAAUCUGUAAUCCUAGCAUUUGGGAAGUGGAGACAAAAGGAUUAGAAGUUCAAACUCAUCCUCCAAUACAUGGUGAUGACGGGUAAAAUUAACACACUGUUCAUUAGUCAUUCAAACAGGUUACAGUGGCAAACCACUGGAGUCCAAAUCUCAGCCUUUUUCCUUCCCAACUGUGUAUACAGCAAGGUACUAAACCUCUCUGUUCUCCACAUUUCUUCUCGGUGAAACAGUAAUUUAAAUUUAAAAAAAUGCUUAUCUUGUUAGUGUGAGGCUCAGCUGUUCUUUAAACAGUUCUUGAAUGCAGUGAGCGCCUCACCAGGGUGUAUUAACAUUGGUAAUGCUUAGAAAAAUGCUUUUGGGUUGGCUAUUAAGUAGCAGAGAUGACAUGGCUUUCAACCAGGUAUUGCUUAUGAGGUAAAGCAUGGCUGGAUUUCAGAGUUAUCUCUGAGCAAAAAUUGAGAAGCUAUGAUAAAAACUGGCCAUAGAAAAACAGAAAAUUCAGUUUAAAAUAUUCAUUACAGGUGGAUCAAUUAAUAAAGUGGUUCAUUUUAAUAAUCA
rnacentral:lncRNA from 1 species